rnacentral:rRNA from 1 species
AGAUUGAACGCUGGCGGCAUGCCUUACACAUGCAAGUCGAACGGUAGAGUAGCAAUACUUGAGAGUGGCGAACGGGUGAGUAAUAUAUCGGAACGUGCCCAGUCGUGGGGGAUAACGUAGAGAAAUUUACGCUAAUACCGCAUACGAUCUAAGGAUGAAAGCGGGGGAUCGCAAGACCUCGCGCGAUUGGAGCGGCUGAUAUCAGAUUAGGUUGUUGGUGAGGUAAAAGCUCACCAAGCCGACGAUCUGUAGCUGGUUUGAGAGAACGACCAGCCACACUGGGACUGAGACACGGCCCAGACUCCUACGGGAGGCAGCGGUGGGGAAUUUUGGACAAUGGGCGAAAGCCUGAUCCAGCAAUGCCGCGUGCAGGAAGAAGGCCUCGGUUGUAACUAGCUUUGUACGGUAACGAAAAGGACGUACUUUCUUAACUAAAGUAAGGGACCCGAACUCGACGGUACCGUAAACGAAAGUAAAGACAACCGGACUAACUAACGUAGUCCAGCAGCCGCGGUAACGUACU